rfam:Astyanax mexicanus Tnplaced_Scaffold_281, whole genome shotgun sequence.
UCUGCACACCAACCCAAGGGUCGUUAUCAUGCUUGGUUGUGAUGACCCACGCAGCGCGUGCGUAAAGAAACGUCAGAGCCUUGUCGCCUUUUAUAGGCCGUCUUCGUGCCGAUAGAAGUGAAUUCAAGGUCCUACAUUC